CAACCUCCCCGGUGCUACUCCGCCACUUCGCAAGUCGCUCCCAGUUCGCUCCCUCUCGACGAUGGGGUUCCUCUCUGCCUUCUUUUCUCGCGUCGCCUCCAAACCUCACCUCCGAAGAUGCUUUCGUGGCGUCCCUCUCCAGUACGCCACCGCUUUGGGAACUGACGCCUCCGGCGAUCGCCUCCUUCCAUGGUCCCGCGCUCUCGUCCCUCUCGCCGUCGCCGCUGGAGCCGCUCUUGCGUUCGAUCUCCGACCCGUCGCUGCGCCUUCUCUUUGCGAUCCCGGCGUCGAUAUCAGGGUUGGAGGGAAAGAUAGCACUGAAGUAGUAGUUAAGGGGGUUCACAGGGAGGUGCCGAAAGAGUUCAUCGCGGAGCUAAAGGAUAUCCUCCAAGAUAAUCUGACACUGGACUAUGAAGAGCGGUAUUUUCAUGGGAAGCCGCAGAAUAGCUUCCACCGAUCUGUGAAUGUGCCUGACGUUGUCGUCUUCCCUAGAUCACAGGGCGAUGUACAGAAAGUUGUUGCAGCAUGUAAUAUGUACAAGGUUCCUAUUGUACCCUAUGGUGGAGCUACAUCAAUUGAGGGUCAUACAUUAGCCCCUCAUGGAGGUGUAUGCGUUGACAUGUCACUGAUGAAAAAAAUUAAAUCUCUAAAUGUUGAGGACUUGGAUAUUGUUGUUGAACCCGGCAUUGGAUGGAUGGAAUUGAAUGAGUAUUUGAAGCCAUAUGGCCUAUUUUUCCCACUUGACCCAGGUCCAGGGGCUACUAUAGGGGGCAUGUGUGCUACCCGUUGCUCAGGGUCUUUAGCUGUAAGGUAUGGGACAAUGCGAGACAAUGUUAUCAACGUUCAGGUUGUCUUAGCAAAUGGUGAAGUCAUAAAGACUGGUUCACGAGCUCGGAAGAGUGCUGCUGGAUAUGAUUUGACUCGCUUGUUGAUUGGAAGUGAAGGCACUUUAGGUAUCAUAACUGAGGUUACUCUGAGACUACAAAGACUUCCUCAACACUCUGUGGUUGCUAUGUGCAAUUUCCAGACAAUUAAGGAUGCUGCUGAUGUUGCUAUAGCAACAAUGCUUUCUGGUAUACAGGUCUCAAGGGUGGAACUGUUAGAUGAGGUUCAAGUAAAGGCCAUUAAUUUUGCUAAUGGCAAAAGUUUACCUGAAGUCCCCACCUUGAUGUUUGAAUUUAUAGGCACAGGUGACCGAUUCUCUCUCUUUUGCACAAUCUCAGAAGCAUAUGCACGAGAACAGACAUUGAUUGUUCAAAAGAUUGUCUCAGAACAUAAUGGCUCUGAUUUUGUUUUUGUGGAAAGUGAGAAUUCUAAAGAAGAGCUGUGGAAGCAGAUACGGAAGGAGGCUCUCUGGGCUUGCUAUGCAAUGGCUCCUGAUAAUUCUGAUGCAAUGAUCACGGCAGAUGAUGUUGCUGUGCACCCUUACUAUUUUCCUUUCAACAGGAUGUAUGUGUUCCUUUAUCAAGGCUGGCAGAGUGCAUAUCAAAGUCUAAGGAAGAGCUUGAUGCAUCACCAUUGAUGUGUAUGGUCAUUGCUCAUGCUGGUGAUGGGAACUUCCAUACAAUAAUUAUGUUUGAUCCUGAACAAGAAGAGCAACGGCAAGAAGCAGAGAGAUUGAAUCAUUUUAUGGUCCAGACUGCCUUAUCAUUAGAAGGGACAUGUACAGGCGAGCAUGGUGUUGGUACUGGGAAAAUGAAGUAUCUGGAAAAGGAGCUUGGGAUUGGGGCAUUACGAACAAUGAAAAGUAUAAAGUCAGUUUUGGAUCCCAACGAUAUCAUGAAUCCAGGAAAGAUAAUUCCUCCUCACGUCUGUAUAUAGAUAGUCUAGAAUGACAUUUUUGAAUGCCCUCUCACACGAGAGGUUGAAUAAAAUCAACGCACUGUGCUGUUGCGGCUGUAUAACAUGCCUAAAUUUAUACUA